rnacentral:rRNA from 1 species
GACGAACGCUGGCGGCGUGCUUAACACAUGCAAGUCGAACGGAAAGGCCCUGCUUUUGUGGGGUGCUCGAGUGGCGAACGGGUGAGUAACACGUGAGUAACCUGCCCUUGACUUUGGGAUAACUUCAGGAAACUGGGGCUAAUACCGGCUAGGAGCUCCUGCUGCAUGGUGGGGGUUGGAACGUUUCGGCGGUUGGGGAUGGACUCGCGGCUUAUCAGCUUGUUGGUGGGGUAGUGGCUUACCAAGGCUUUGACGGGUAGCCGGCCUGAGAGGGUGACCGGCGACCUUGGGACUGAGAUACGGCGCAGACUCCUACGGGAGGCAGCAGUGGGGAAUAUUGCACAAUGGGCGGAAGCCUGAUGCAGCAACGCCGCGUGCGGGAUGACGGCCUUCGGGUUGGAAACCGCUUUCGCCUGUGACGAAGCGUGAGUGACGGUAAUGGGUAAAGAAGCACCGGCUAACUACGUG